UACGGAGGGUGCUAGCGUUGUUCGGAAUCACUGGGCGUAAAGGGCGCGUAGGCGGCAAUUCAAGUCACUUGUGAAAUCUCCGGGCUUAACUCGGAACGGUCAAGUGAUACUGCUUUGCUAGAGUGCGGAAGGGGCAAUCGGAAUUCUCGGUGUAGCGGUGAAAUGCGUAGAUAUCGAGAGGAACACCUGAGGUGAAGACGGGUUGCUGGGCCGACACUGACGCUGACAGCGCGAAAGCCAGGGGAGCAAACGGG
rnacentral:rRNA from 1 species